CCGCCAUCACACCACCAUCCAUGCCCAACAUCGUCGUCGCGCCUUCCACCAUAGAUCUGACCUUACACCACCAUAGCCGCUAUCUCCUUGCCUCUACAACAAUCCGCUUAUUGCCGCUGUCUCCACCGCCAUAACCACUGUUAGAGAGAGAUAGCGAUAUCGGAAAAUAGAGAUAUAAAGAUUGAGAGAGAGAGAGAGAGAGAGAAAGAAAUAGACAGCGAAAGCG
rnacentral:lncRNA from 1 species